UACGAAGGGGGCUAGCGUUGCUCGGAAUCACUGGGCGUAAAGCGCACGUAGGCGGCUUUUUAAGUCCGCCGUCAAAUCCCAGGGCUCAACUCUGGACAGGCGGUGGAAACUACCAAGCUGGAGUACGGUAGGGGCAGAGGGAAUUUCCGGUGGAGCGGUGAAAUGCGUAGAGAUCGGAAAGAACACCAACGGCGAAAGCGCUCUGCUGGGCCGACACUGACACUGAGAGACGAAAGCUAGGGGAGCGAAUGGG
rnacentral:rRNA from 1 species